rnacentral:rRNA from 1 species
UGCGCAGGCGGUUUUGUAAGUCUGAUGUGAAAUCCCCGGGCUCAACCUGGGAAUUGCAUUGGAGACUGCAAGGCUAGAAUCUGGCAGAGGGGGGUAGAAUUCCACGUGUAGCAGUGAAAUGCGUAGAUAUGUGGAGGAACACCGAUGGCGAAGGCAGCCCCCUGGGUCAAGAUUGACGCUCAUGCACGAAAGCGUGGGGAGCAAACA